rnacentral:lncRNA from 1 species
AAUGGAGACCCCCCGUUACCCCUGCCACCUGCUAUCACUAAUCACAGAAGCAUAAGCUCAGUGGAGUUUCAUGAUGAUAAGGGUGAUGAUGAGAAUGUACAGCAGGGCACUGACUUCAGCUGAAGGGGACAAAGGGAACAGCUGCUGAUUGCUUUAAAGGAUAGUGUUUGGGUCAAAGAAGCUGGUAUUAAGAGCCCAGGAGAAGGACAAGGUGAAUGAUUGAAGACAUUCUAAAUACUACAUCACCCUCUACAACCUUCCUAUUGACUUCCUGGCUGGGUUUCUCCAUAGAUUAACCAGCAGAGCUGGCCUUGAGCAAAGGGAUACAAAUGUACUCUGCCCGCUGGCCUGGCUCUCUGCCCUCCUCAGU